ensembl:lncRNA
AGGGUGACCCGGGGUCUGGGGAAGCGGGGGUCUCCCGCCUCGACGCCCAGUGUGGCCACAGGACAGAUGGGGAGCUUGGGCGCGAACCGAGAGCCGGCUCCCUGAGGCCAGAAAAUUAUUCUCCAGUUUGACUCUUGUGUCCUUUAAAGUUGAAGCGCAGGGCACUUGGUUUCAAGAGUUAAAUGUAAGGCUAAUACGGGGCACUUUCAGUGUGAUAACUUGGAGUUCAUAUUGUUGGGGGAGAUAAGCAGCGGGAGCAGGUGCUUCUUGAAUUCACUUAUCAGCGCUCCGGCUGCCCAGGCGCUCUGAUGCUGCGGGCGCGUCUCGGAGUGAGGCUUCUUGGGCCCCCAGGGCCACCGUUUCAUCUGCCGACCUCGCAGGGGUGAAGGCUCUCUUCUAGUCUGCGUUCAUCUUGCUGUAUCCUCACAUGGCUACGUCUUAGCUGCGGCACGUGGGGUCUUCUAGUUACAGCACACAGGAUCUUUAGUUCAGGCAUGUGAACUCUUUAGUUGCCACACGUGGGAUCUAGUUCCUUGACUGGGGAUCAAACCCGGGUCCCCUGCAC